UGGGGAAUAUUGCACAAUGGGCGCAAGCCUGAUGCAGCCAUGCCGCGUGUGUGAAGAAGGCCUUCGGGUUGUAAAGCACUUUCAGCGAGGAGGAAGGUGGUGAGCUUAAUACGCUCAUCAAUUGACGUUACUCGCAGAAGAAGCACCGGCUAACUCCGUGCCAGCAGCCGCGGUAAUACGGAGGGUGCAAGCGUUAAUCGGAAUUACUGGGCGUAAAGCGCACGCAGGCGGUUUGUUAAGUCAGAUGUGAAAUCCCCCGGGCUCAACCUGGGAACUGCAUUUGAAACUGGCAAGCUAGAGUCUCGUAGAGGGGGGUAGAAUUCCAGGUGUAGCGGUGAAAUGCGUAGAGAUCUGGAGGAAUACCGGUGGCGAAGGCGGCCCCCCUGGACGAAGACUGACGCUCAGGUGCGAAAGCGUGGGGAGCAAAACAGGAUUAGAUACCCUGGUAGUCCACGCUGUAAACGAUGUCGAUUUGGAGGUUGUGCCCUUGAGGCGUGGNUUCCGGAGCUAACGCGUUAAAUCGACCGCCUGGGGAGUACGGCCGCAAGGUUAAAACUCAAAGGAAUUG
rnacentral:rRNA from 1 species